GCAGCUUUUAAAGCUUGGUGCUCCCCUGCCAGGCACAUCUGCUGUGCAGAGGAAAGGCUGUGCUGCUGCUCAUUUCCACAGGGUGGUGAGGCAGGACAACGUCUGAGCUCGUGGGCACUUAAAGACGUUAGGGUGACCUGUUUAACCAACCACUGGGCUGACAAGAGGAAUCUGGUACCACUGGCUGAGAGCCUCGGGAAUGGUAACACCUUUGCCCACCUGCAGCUGCCUUGGUAAUUUUCACACACGGAGAACGAACACAGAGAGUUCUCAAAAAUCCUAGAAGCCGCAAAGCUCCUACGUAUCUUUCCUGCCUACAACUGUUUGAAAUGGCCAGGAACCUACAGCAGCAGCACCACACAGCAACCCUAACAGUGAGACCACACCGGAACCCUCCCGCUGGGACAAGGCAGCAGGACAACAACAGAACCCUCAGAGGACAACAGGACCCCCUGGAAAAAGGGCAGGCUGACAUGGAGACAAUGCCUCCCUACUGCUCUAGGUCUGCUUUUAGCAGAAGAGCACAAGCCUGCUGUGCCUCCAAAAGCU